UACGAAGGGGGCUAGCGUUGCUCGGAAUCACUGGGCGUAAAGCGCACGUAGGCGGAUCGUUAAGUCAGGGGUGAAAUCCUGGAGCUCAACUCCAGAACUGCCUUUGAUACUGGCGAUCUUGAGUUCGGGAGAGGUGAGUGGAACUGCGAGUGUAGAGGUGAAAUUCGUAGAUAUUCGCAAGAACACCAGUGGCGAAGGCGGCUCACUGGCCCGGUACUGACGCUGAGGUGCGAAAGCGUGGGAGCAAACAGG
rnacentral:rRNA from 1 species